rnacentral:rRNA from 1 species
UCUUGAUAUUAAUAGCGCAUUGGACCCACUCCAAACCAUUCCGAACUUGGUUGUUAAACUUUGCAGCGACGACGAUACUGAAAGGGAAACUUUUUGGGAAAAUAGUUCAAUAUCAGGA